rnacentral:rRNA from 1 species
CCGAGAAACGGCUACCACUUCCAAGGAAGGCAGCAGGCGCGCAACUUACCCUAAUCUCGAUUCGAGGAGGUAGUGACAAGAAAUACCGAUGCGGGACCCUACGGGUGCCGCGUUCGGAAUGAGUACGAUUCGAACCACCUAACGAGGAACGAUCGGAGGGCAAGUCUGGUGCCAGCAGCCGCGGUAAUUCCAGCUCCAAUAGCGUACGUUAAAGUUGCUGCAGUUAAAAAGCUCGUAGUUGAAACGUUCGGGUUCCGCGGGACGGGGCCGCCCCGCGAGGGACGGCGUCCGCCCCGGGGCUCGUGAUAUCUCAAUCUCGCCGCCCGUCGCGAGGCGGACGGAGGGAUGGAUGAGGUUACCUGGAAAAAAUACGGGGCGAUCUAGGACGGGCGAACCUCGCCAACGAACG